ACAAAAGAGAAGAAGAAGAAGAAAAAGAAGAAGAAUAACGAGAAAAAAUGAGGUCUUAUUUGUUGUUGUUGAUUGCUGGGCUGUAUGUUGGUUUUAUUUGCCCU
rnacentral:ribozyme from 1 species